UACGAAGGGGGCUAGCGUUGUUCGGAAUUACUGGGCGUAAAGCGCACGUAGGCGGAUUGUUGAGUCAGAGGUGAAAUCCCGGAGCUCAACUUCGGAACUGCCUUUGAUACUGGCAAUCUAGAGUCCGGAAGAGGUUAGUGGAAUUCCCAGUGUAGAGGUGAAAUUCGUAGAUAUUGGGAAGAACACCAGUGGCGAAGGCGGCUAACUGGUCCGGUACUGACGCUGAGGUGCGAAAGCGUGGGGAGCAAACAGG
rnacentral:rRNA from 1 species